rnacentral:rRNA from 1 species
GCCCUUCGGGGUACUCGAGUGGCGAACGGGUGAGUAACACGUGGGUGAUCUGCCCUGCACUUUGGGAUAAGCCUGGGAAACUGGGUCUAAUACCGGAUAGGACUACGGCCUGCAUGGGUUGUGGUGGAAAGCUUUUGCGGUGUGGGAUGGGCCCGCGGCCUAUCAGCUUGUUGGUGGGGUGAUGGCCUACCAAGGCGACGACGGGUAGCCGGCCUGAGAGGGUGUCCGGCCACACUGGGACUGAGAUACGGCCCAGACUCCUACGGGAGGCAGCAGUGGGGAAUAUUGCACAAUGGGCGCAAGCCUGAUGCAGCGACGCCGCGUGGGGGAUGACGGCCUUCGGGUUGUAAACCUCUUUCAGUACAGACGAAGCGCAAGUGACGGUAUGUACAGAAGAAGCACCGGCCAACUACGUGCCAGCAGCCGCGGUAAUACGUAGGGUGCGAGCGUUGUCCGGAAUUACUGGGCGUAAAGAGCUCGUAGG